rnacentral:rRNA from 1 species
UACGUAGGGGGCUAGCGUUGUCCGGAUUUAUUGGGCGUAAAGGGCUCGUAGGCGGUUUGUCGCGUCGGGAGUGAAAACACGGGGCUUAACCCCGUGCCUGCUUCCGAUACGGGCAGACUAGAGGUAUGCAGGGGAGAACGGAAUUCCUGGUGUAGCGGUGAAAUGCGCAGAUAUCAGGAGGAACACCGGUGGCGAAGGCGGUUCUCUGGGCAUUACCUGACGCUGAGGAGCGAAAGUGUGGGGAGCGAACAGG